UACGUAGGGUGCAGGCGUUAAUCGGAAUUACUGGGCGUAAAGCGUGCGUAGGCGGCCUACUAAGUCAGACGUGAAAUCCCCCGGCUUAACCUGGGAACUGCGUCUGAUACUGGAAGGCUUGAGUAUGGGAGAGGGAUGUAGAAUUCCAGGUGUAGCGGUGAAAUGCGUAGAUAUCUGGAGGAAUACCGGUGGCGAAGGCGGCAUCCUGGACCAUUACUGACGCUGAGGCGCGAAAGCUAGGGGAGCAAACGGG
rnacentral:rRNA from 1 species